GGACUACUCGGGUAUCUAAUCCGGAUCGCUCCCCACGCUUUCGCUCCUCAGUGUCAGAACCGGUCCAGGAAGCCGCCUUCGCCACUGGUGUUCCUCCCGAUAUCUACGCAUUCCACCACUACACCGGGAAUUCCGCUUCCCCCUACCGGCCUCGAGCCCGCCAGUAUCGAAUGACCCCUCCCAGUUGAGCCGGGAGAUUUCACAUCCGACUUGACGUGGCCACCUACAAGCCUUUUACGCCCAAUAAAUCCGGACAACGCUCGCCCCCUACGUAUUACCGCGGCGGCUGGCAC
rnacentral:rRNA from 1 species